GUUAAUGAAAUCUCUAUUUCUUCCCACAUUAGGCACUUUAUCUAAAGAAACAUCUGAAGCUUGGAGAGAAGAUAUCCAAGCAAUAUAUUCCAGUCAACAUUCAGAGUGCUUCAAAAUCAGUUUGCCUACUUCCUAUUGAGAUAUGGUUCAAAAAUGACAUGUUGGCAACUGAAACUUUAGAUUUCUAUAUUUACACCCUGCAUUUGCACUUCUAAUGUAAAUCUCAAAUGUUUCACCAUAAGGACUUUUGAAAUUCUGGAUGUUUGGUUGUUGCUUUCCCUAUCUUUUGAUAGAAACCUAUUUUGUCAUACAUAAAUCUAUCAACAAUUUGGCCCGUCUUCAGUUUCACAUUAAAG
rnacentral:lncRNA from 1 species